UCUCACUUCCAACUGGCUCUCCUCACUCCUAGCUGUCUCUCAUCUCCCAGCCCAUUUCCAAUGAUCCAGCCCAUGGCUGUGCCUUUCCCAUGGGGCCUUGUGGAAAGUUUAACUUACAGCUGACAGCAGCCCCCAUGACAGAUGUCACAUAAAAGGGGGAUGUCCUUGAACCCCGUGUGUUUGAUCAGUGCCCUGGGAAAGAUGAGUCCCUGAUGCCUGAGCAGCUAACCUGUAAGUCCUCUCCUGACAAUGUCACACGGGCUUGAAGAAUGCUAUCACAGAGACUCCUGAUGUUUUAAUGCUGGCUGAAGUGAGACAUCCUAGAAACUGAAAACGUAAAGUUGAUUUUACUCAUCCAGCACGUCCACUGACUUUACUGUAAAUAUGGCAAACCAGAUUAUGACUAAGGGAAUGCGAGAUUAUGACUAAGGGAAUGCAGUGAAUAAAUUACUUUCUUCCAAAGUCAACCAGAUGCUCAGAAUAAAAAAAGAUAAAUCAAUAAAUUAAAUCAAUGAGAGAGGAAAGAUCCUCUUAUGGCUGAGGCAAUGGAUUGAAAGUCAGGAAAUUUGAUUUCAAUUUUCGACUCUGUCACAGGCUUCCUGUGUGACCUUAGGAGAAACCAGUGCUGGUUGUCAGAGGGACAUCCUUGCAACACUCAAAAAGUCAGCAAAACCUUAGGAGCUGAGUUCUGAAACUGUCUUGCCUUGCUGGGAUAAGCAGUGAACUGCUUAUCACUGUGGCUGAUUGGUUUGAUUAUGAAAAAGGAAAUAGAGCAUUAUUUAAGCAUGCCAAAAUUAGUAUCAGUGUGAAAUUUUCCAUAGAGAGUAAGAGAGGGCACUAGAAAGACUAUAAGGUGAUUUAUACCUUUCUUGAGCUUUAAUUUUCUUGGAUUCUGGAAAGCUGCAUUGCAUUUUUAUUCCUCUGUCACAAGGCUAAUGUGAAGAUUAAUUAUUGAAUGUUUCUUAAUGUUUUGCAAUCAAUGGUAACUAUCACUGUAAAUUAUAAUAAUUGAACACCAAAAACCCUUUUUAAGUAGCAGAAAAUUUGAAAGGUCAUUAUCAGUCUAAACUUGGCAUAGAAUUCAAAUCCUCUGUAAAAUCCCAAAAAAAACCACAAGCCAAAACAAGCAAAAUUUAAUCAAAUAAAUGGAAUGGUAAUCAGAAACUUUGAAUACAAAUGUUUUCUUUCAUUAGGGGAAAACUCAGUUCAUUCAUUUUGCAUUUUAAACAUUUCCUUGCAGUGAUAUGAAUUCAGAGCAACACCAUUGUUCUUGUAUGUCAUCUAAGAAAUUAGAUGGGCUGGAAGAGAAUUACAAGACUACAUUAUUUUACAUUCUGUGGGAAAUACAAAAGGACAUAUGAUAAAAUGGGUGGUCUUCAACAGUGUGAUUAUGAAUACUGAACUAAAACCUGGAAAACAGCUGUGGUUGGAAAAAAUUAUUCCAGUUUUACUAACAUAAAAGUUUGGGGUUUUUUUUGGAUGGUGGGGGUUUUUUGGUGAUAUUUUUUGGUUUUAUUUGUUUGCUUUUGUUUUGUUGUUUAGUUUGCUUGUUCUUUUAUUUUUCUCUUUUUAUUGAUUAGAAACCUGAAAAAAACUGAGUAUGGGUACACUCAGUUGCCUAAAUAUCUUCAUCUGCAUGCCAGCUACACAUUUUUGUUUGGUCCAUCAUGAUUCACAGAUCACUGAUGCAGUGUCCAUUGCAGAUGGGCAGUUUUGCAGUUUUAUUACCAUAAGAGAAUUAAUAUCUAAUUUCUGUCUGUUCUGGUCUCUGAGAAGUGUGCCUAAAUUGGUAACAUUUAUAAAAUUAAAAUAUCUCAUCUUUAGACUUUUUUUUUGCUUGAGUCAAAUUUUUUACCGUACUUCACUGUGUGAAUUUGUAUGCCUUUACAUACAAAUGUGAAUAGACAAGGAGUUGAGUACAAAAUCCCUUGUAAAAACAGACUCUAGGCUUAAAAAAAAAAUCUGUUGAAAAUUUCUUAUAACCAGAGUGUGAAGAGAUUGUGGAAUGCUGAAUAUUUCUAAAGCUUCUACUAGACAUAUGUUUAUUUUUUGUGUCAGAAGGUUAAUCACACCUGCCUGACACCCAGCUUUCUGCCUGCUUAUGUGAGCUUUCAGGGGUUUCCUUGGGCUUGCCAGCAGAAACUCACUACCUCAGUCUACCUGUGAGCACAAUCUCAGUGCUUGAUUUUGCUGAUGCUAUCCCCAGGCAGAAGAACCAUGAAAUUCUGGUGUCAGUUUGAGCAGAGGAGGAAGAGAUAUGGCUUUUGUCCAAGCUGGUCAUGAGAAAAGCAGUUAGAGAAUUCUGGCUCUGUGGCUCCUUCCAGUUUGUUUGGAUUACACUUUGGACAAGAAAUGUCAUAAUAAUUACAAUAACAACAAUAACAGCAACAACUUAAUUUAGCCAUUUUCCCCUAAGAAAAGGAAGAUAUGAAUAGUUGUGAUAUGAUAGUUGUGUGUAGCCACAAAAAACCCCAAAAACCUCUAUACAGUUUUUUAUCACAUUGAAUGUUAAGAGAUGCAUUGCAUUAUCUGCAUUGCUCUUAAAAAACUUUAAUCUUCACACAUCUCAGCCUUGAUUUUUUCUUUGAUGAUAUUCAAAUUCUAAUAUUUAAUCAUUUUAUAGUCUGUUAGUGGUACAGAUAACAAAUGAGUUAGAUCACAGUCAGUGAAGCUCUAAUGGAAGUUAUGGCUGUGUAGCUUGUGAUGAGAGGUCUCUGAACACCCAGACAAUUUCUCCUACCUUUGUAAAGUGCAUCUAGAUCUUUCAUCAGCCAACUUUCUCACCUGUUCUCCCUUUAUCCAUUAACAAAAUCAUCUCCCAUGCAACCCACCGGAUUGUAGGUUUUA